rnacentral:lncRNA from 1 species
UUUUUAGAAUAAUUUAAUUUCACUAAAGUUAGAAGUAAAGAAAAAAAAUAAAAGGGAAAAGACACUAAAGUGAAAAACUUGGGAUUUGAACUCUUGACAAUCCCCUUUAUAACUCCUUAACUCCUUUUAGAACCGGCUAAAUCAUUCCAUUUAUUCAAAAUGAAACAACAUUAGCGAGUAUAUAAUGAUAAUUUUAAUAAUAAUCUUAAUAAUAAUACUAAUAACCCCAUUAUGACCCUAAUUAAAUAAUAUAUCAA